rnacentral:rRNA from 1 species
GGGUUGUGAGGUUAAGCGACUAAGCGUACACGGUGGAUGCCCUGGCAGUCAGAGGCGAUGAAGGACGUGCUAAUCUGCGAUAAGCGCCGGUAAGGUGAUAUGAACCGUUAUAACCGGCGAUUUCCGAAUGGGGAAACCCAGUGUGAUUCGUCACACUAUCAUUAACUGAAUCCAUAGGUUAAUGAGGCGAACCGGGGGAACUGAAACAUCUAAGUACCCCGAGGAAAAGAAAUCAACCGAGAUUCCCCCAGUAGCGGCGAGCGAACGGGGAGGAGCCCAGAGCCUGAAUCAGCAUGUGUGUUAGUGGAAGCGUCUGGAAAGGUGCGCGAUACAGGGUGACAGCCCCGUACACAAAAGCGCAUGUGCUGUGAGCUCGAUGAGUAGGGCGGGACACGUGGUAUCCUGUCUGAAUAUGGGGGGACCAUCCUCCAAGGCUAAAUACUCCUGACUGACCGAUAGUGAACCAGUACCGUGAGGGAAAGGCGAAAAGAACCCCGGCGAGGGGAGUGAAAAAGAACCUGAAACCGUGUACGUACAAGCAGUGGGAGCACAGGUUUACCUGUGUGACUGCGUACCUUUUGUAUAAUGGGUCAGCGACUUAUAUUCUGUAGCAAGGUUAACCGUAUAGGGGAGCCGGAGGGAAACCGAGUCUUAACCGGGCGUUAAGUUGCAGGGUAUAGACCCGAAACCCGGUGAUCUAGCCAUGGGCAGGUUGAAGGUUGGGUAACACUAACUGGAGGACCGAACCGACUAAUGUUGAAAAAUUAGCGGAUGACCUGUGGCUGGGGGUGAAAGGCCAAUCAAACCGGGAGAUAGCUGGUUCUCCCCGAAAGCUAUUUAGGUAGCGCCUCGUGAAUUCAUCUCCGGGGGUAGAGCACUGUUUCGGCUAGGGGGCCAUCCCGGCUUACCAACCCGAUGCAAACUGCGAAUACCGGAGAAUGUUAUCACGGGAGACACACGGCGGGUGCUAACGUCCGUCGUGAAGAGGGAAACAACCCAGACCGCCAGCUAAGGUCCCAAAGUCAUGGUUAAGUGGGAAACGAUGUGGGAAGGCCCAGACAGCCAGGAUGUUGGCUUAGAAGCAGCCAUCAUUUAAAGAAAGCGUAAUAGCUCACUGGUCGAGUCGGCCUGCGCGGAAGAUGUAACGGGGCUAAACCAUGCACCGAAGCUGCGGCAGCGACGCUGAUGCGUUGUUGGGUAGGGGAGCGUUCUGUAAGCCUGCGAAGGUGACCUGUGAGGGUUGCUGGAGGUAUCAGAAGUGCGAAUGCUGACAUAAGUAACGAUAAAGCGGGUGAAAAGCCCGCUCGCCGGAAGACCAAGGGUUCCUGUCCAACGUUAAUCGGGGCAGGGUGAGUCGACCCCUAAGGCGAGGCCGAAAGGCGUAGUCGAUGGGAAACGGGUUAAUAUUCCCGUACUUGGUGUUACUGCGAAGGGGGGACGGAGAAGGCUAUGUUGGCCGGGCGACGGUUGUCCCGGUUUAAGCGUGUAGGUGUGUGUUCCAGGUAAAUCCGGUUCACUUUAACACUGAGGCGUGAUGACGAGGCACUACGGUGCUGAAGCAACAAAUGCCCUGCUUCCAGGAAAAGCCUCUAAGCAUCAGGUAACAUCAAAUCGUACCCCAAACCGACACAGGUGGUCAGGUAGAGAAUACCAAGGCGCUUGAGAGAACUCGGGUGAAGGAACUAGGCAAAAUGGUGCCGUAACUUCGGGAGAAGGCACGCUGACACGUAGGUGAAGUGAUUUACUCACGGAGCUGAAGUCAGUCGAAGAUACCAGCUGGCUGCAACUGUUUAUUAAAAACACAGCACUGUGCAAACACGAAAGUGGACGUAUACGGUGUGACGCCUGCCCGGUGCCGGAAGGUUAAUUGAUGGGGUCAGCGCAAGCGAAGCUCCUGAUCGAAGCCCCGGUAAACGGCGGCCGUAACUAUAACGGUCCUAAGGUAGCGAAAUUCCUUGUCGGGUAAGUUCCGACCUGCACGAAUGGCGUAAUGAUGGCCAGGCUGUCUCCACCCGAGACUCAGUGAAAUUGAACUCGCUGUGAAGAUGCAGUGUACCCGCGGCAAGACGGAAAGACCCCGUGAACCUUUACUAUAGCUUGACACUGAACAUUGAGCCUUGAUGUGUAGGAUAGGUGGGAGGCUUUGAAGUGUGGACGCCAGUCUGCAUGGAGCCGACCUUGAAAUACCACCCUUUAAUGUUUGAUGUUCUAACGUGGACCCGUAAUCCGGGUUGCGGACAGUGUCUGGUGGGUAGUUUGACUGGGGCGGUCUCCUCCUAAAGAGUAACGGAGGAGCACGAAGGUUGGCUAAUCCUGGUCGGACAUCAGGAGGUUAGUGCAAUGGCAUAAGCCAGCUUGACUGCGAGCGUGACGGCGCGAGCAGGUGCGAAAGCAGGUCAUAGUGAUCCGGUGGUUCUGAAUGGAAGGGCCAUCGCUCAACGGAUAAAAGGUACUCCGGGGAUAACAGGCUGAUACCGCCCAAGAGUUCAUAUCGACGGCGGUGUUUGGCACCUCGAUGUCGGCUCAUCACAUCCUGGGGCUGAAGUAGGUCCCAAGGGUAUGGCUGUUCGCCAUUUAAAGUGGUACGCGAGCUGGGUUUAGAACGUCGUGAGACAGUUCGGUCCCUAUCUGCCGUGGGCGCUGGAGAACUGAGGGGGGCUGCUCCUAGUACGAGAGGACCGGAGUGGACGCAUCACUGGUGUUCGGGUUGUCAUGCCAAUGGCACUGCCCGGUAGCUAAAUGCGGAAGAGAUAAGUGCUGAAAGCAUCUAAGCACGAAACUUGCCCCGAGAUGAGUUCUCCCUGAGACUUAGAGUCUCCUGAAGGAACGUUGAAGACGACGACGUUGAUAGGCCGGGUGUGUAAGCGCAGCGAUGCGUUGAGCUAACCGGUACUAAUGAACCGUGAGGCUUAACCUUACAACGCCGAAG